rnacentral:rRNA from 1 species
AACGCGAAGAACCUUACCUCGCCUUUACAAUUCAGGUAAUUUUCAUAAAAGGGGGGGUGCCCCAAGGGAACUCUGAACAGGUGCUGCAUGGCUGUCUUCACCUCGUGUCGUGAGAUGUUGGGUUAAGUCCCGCAACGAGCGCAACCCUUGUUCUUAGUUGCCAUCAGGUAAUGUUGGGCACUUUAAGGAGACUGCCGGUGACAAACGGGAGGAAGGUGGGGAUGACGUCAAGUCAUCAUGGCCCUUAUGGCUAGGGCUACACACGUGCUACAAUGGCCGGUACAAAGGGUUGCAAACCCGCGAGGGGGAGCAAAUCCCAAAAACCCGGUCUCAGUCCGGAUUGGAGUCUGCAACUCGACUCCAUGAAGUGGGAAUCGCUAGUAAUCGCGAUCAGCAAUC